CUAACUUGGCCCCGUACUUCAAUCAUCCUUGUUGAAAACAUGUUUAUUAUUCACCUCACCCUUUAUCUCCCUUAGAGCUGAAGACAUGUGAGGUGAAGACCCACUAUCUCAUCUGCAUUUGUCAACUGCCUUCCCCCAAACUGGCAUCAGGAGCAGAGUGGUGACUUCAGUAAUCAGUUCUAUCUUGAGCUGCACUCCUGCGCCCACAGGCUUACAGCUGGACUGCUGUAAUAUUUUCUUUGUGACCAGAGAGAGAGGGUGCUCUUUUAGGCAACAGUUAGGUGCGAUUGUGCAAGGCAGAGCACAGACUGUGGAAACACAGGGCAGGGGAACAGGAACCUCACCCCAGCAUCCCGCACAGAAAUUCCAGUUAAAUGCAGCUCUCCUAUGCAGACUUCUGACCCAUGCUAGGCUACUCUAGGUCUUUCCAUAAAACAAUUAAUCAUCUGAAGCAGUCUGGUCACUUCCCUGAGUCCCUUCCAGGAACAUUCUCCUAGGAUUUACAGCCUGGCAGUACCCAGGAUGGUGAUAAGGAAAGCAAAAGCAAAGUACUACUCGAACCUUCUCUCAGUCCCACUAUGAAGGGCAGGGGGCGGGGGUAACAAACACUCACCAGUAAAAGUCAGACAAAUAAUGGUUAGCUACCUGCAACUCAGGCAGCUCUGAAAUACAGCAGACACAAGUUUCUGAGGAAAUGAAGCCCCUUGAGGGCUGUCAAAAAAGGCCCCUGAAAAAUUUAUAUUUAAAUUGUUAACAUAGGAGCAUAUGGCACAUAAAAGGAACAAGACAGAUGGUUAGCAAAGUUCCUAUUUCUCAUAUAGUUAAACCACAGAGGUCAACAAACUGCUUUAUCUGUUUUUGUUGUUGUUGUUUUAGAGCGAGAGAGAGAGUAUAAGCACCAGUGGAGAGGGCACAGGGAGGGAGAGAGAGAAUUCCAAGCAGACUCCAUGCUUGGCGAGGGGCCCAAUGUAGGGCUCGAUCUCACAACUGUGAGAUCAUGACCUGAGCUGAAAUCAAGAGUCGGACACUUAACCAAAUGAGCCACCCAGGCUCCCCCGCAAACUGCUUUAAGUCAUUUAUUUGGCCAGACUAUAAAAUUAUAGUGGGAAUUUCUCAUUUGCAGAUAUGAAAAUACCUACAUAAUAACUCUAAAGUAUGGUAAUCCACUCCUAUUUACUUUGUGGCAGUGAGUGGAUGGAGGUAUUAGAAAGAAGGUACCAAUGAAAGAAGGAAUGAUGUAUUUAUUGAGUAUUUAACAUACUGCUAAGAAACGAGAGAAAACCAGGGCUCAGGAAGGUUAAACAUCUUGCCCAUGUCACACACUGAGCCAGGACUGUGUACUAAGCUGUCCCUCUAGGGGCGCCUGGGUGGCGCAGUCGGUUAAGCGUCCGACUUCAGCCAGGUCACGAUCUCGCGGUCCGGGAGUUCGAGCCCUGCGUCGGGCUCUGGGCUGAUGGCUCAGAGCCUGGAGCCUGUUUCUGAUUCUGUGUCUCCCUCUCUCUCUGCCCCUCCCCCAUUCAUGCUCUGUCUCUCUCUGUCCCAAAAAUAAAUAAACGUUGAAAAAAAAAAUUAAAAAAAAAAAAAAAGCUGUCCCUCUAUGCCACACUGACCAGCACAGCUGUCAUUGGCAACUAUGCAGCACAAUCUCCAGGGAAAACCGUGAAGCUACUUGUGGGUGUGUGAGAACAAAACACCUUGGCUUGGGGUAUGGAGCCCAGUGGAGUCCAGGUUAAAACAUAACAUAAGCAGCUGGAUUAAGAAACACCAAUUUUGGGGCACCGGGGUGGCUCUGUCAGUUGAGCGUUUGACUUCAGCUCAGGUCAUGAUCUCACAGAUCAUGAGUUUGAGCCCCGCAUCAGGCUCGCUGCUGUCAGCGCAAAGCCCACUUUGGAUCCUCUGUCUUCCUCUCUCUCUGCCCCUCCCCAGCUCAUGCUGUCUCUCUCUCUCUCAAAAAUAAACAUUAGGGGCGCCUGGGUGGCUCAGUCGGAUAACCGUCCGACUUCGGCUCAGGUCAUGAUCUCACGGUUCGUGAGUUCGAGCCCCGCGUCGGGCUCUGUGCUGACAGCUCAGAACCUGGCUGCUUUGAUUCUGUGUCUCCUUCUCUCUCUGCUGCUCUGUCUCUGGAGCUCUGUCUCUGUCUCUCUCUCUCUCUCUCAAAAAUAAAUAAACAUUUAAAAAAUUAAAAAAAAAAUAAACAUUAAAAAAAGGAACAUCAAUCUUUGUGAAAAUUCCAAAUUAAGCAGAUAAAUCAGGAGUGAAUUCCCAUAUUAUAAGAGCAAAUUAAUUUCUCCAACAGAUCUGCACCAAUAUUUAGAGAUCAUUAGCUUCUUCAAUACCGGGUACAGGACAAAGGCACUUAGCACAGCCAUGAACGACAGAGUCAUGCAUGACACAACUAGAAGGAUCUUUUGAGUUCGUGUCCCGCUUGUUGUUGUUGUUGUUGUUGUUUUUCCCAAAAAAAGAAACUGAAGCCAAACAGGUCCAAAGACUGAUUUAAAGCCAUACAGUGAACAAGUGACACAGCCAGACCAGAAGCUAAGUCUCUAAUUUCCACUGUUCAAACCUAAAAUUGAAUCCAAAACUUGGGGAAAACAUGGGAACCAGCAGACUGGAUCACACUUAGACCAGCAUCAUUUACCAAAAGAAAUCCCAGGAGAGAUGUUAUGAGAGGCUGUCCUGCUGUUGUAAAAGUUCGGAUUAAGUAGACCACAGCUUUUUUUUUCUUUUUGUGGACCUACCUUCCAUUAGAUAAUCUACUUUUUGUUAUCUCUUUGUAUAUCAUACUUAAUACUGCUGAUUUAAACAAUCAGGUCCACACACUUAACUUCUACAUUGUAGGAACUACAGUACCAUUUUGAACUAAUCACUGAAAUUGUCUCAUCCAGUCCCAGGUAAGUUCGCACUGCUCUCUUUGCUCAUGUUACUCCAGGAAAUUUAUCCUCACUAUUGCUCAGCGACUUUCAUUCAUCUCUAAAUGGCUUUCUAUCAUGUUCCCUUCAGUGCUACAUUCAAGCCUUCUCCCCAUUUCUUCAGACCCCCAACUGUUCUCUGCUGCCACUCACUCCCUCCCAGCUGAUGACCUGGUUUCCACUCUAAUGACGCUGAGGUCAUUCAGCUAAGGCUUCCUCAACUUCCUCCUCCUCCUGUCAAAACUGCUCCAUCUUUGAGUGCCUCGGUGGCUCAGUCAGUUGAGCCUAUGACUUUGGCUCAGGUCAUGAUCUCACGGUCCAAGAAUUCAGGCUCCGCAUCUGUCUCUGUGCUGACAGCUCAGAGCCUGGAGCCUGCUUCAGAUUCUGUGUCUCCCUCUGUCUCUGUCCCUCACCCAUUCAUAAUGUCUCUGUCUCUCUCUCUCAAAAAUAAAUAUUUUGAAAAAAUUUUUAAAAAACCUGCCCCAUCUUGUCGCUUUUUUCUCUUUCCACCUUCCUCCCAGAGGAAGAUGCAGCUUGCUUCCUUCACAGGCUAAGUCCUCCAGCCAUAAUAACCUUCCACCCACUUCCACAACUGCAUCUCCAGUCUUCCUCUCUGCUGGCUUUGUGUGCAGUGCAUACGCUCGGUUCACCCUCAUCCUUAAUUACAACAAACCCAAACAAGGCAACUUGGACCUACUCAAACCUCCUACCUUUCCAGCUCUCCUUCCUCUGCCUCCCUGCUGCAUUUUCAAAGGCAGAGUCGAAUCAUCAACUUGCUCCUCCGUCAACUUGCUCCUUAAGCUUUUGCCACUUAGCUUCCUCUCUCAGCACCCAGACUUUCAGAGGUCUCCAGUGGUUUCCUUGUCACAUAUGGAGUCCUCAUUUCUUUAAACUCCCUGUAGCAUUUGACUCUGCUAACUUACCUGGGUUUCUUGAAACUGUUCUAUGACUCUCAGGGCACUGACCACACUGGUUUUCCUUCCCUACUUAACUGCUUCUUUGCUGACUCCUCUUCUUCCCCAGACCCCCCAAAAAAGACAUUCUCCAAAUCACGCUUCUCUUUUUUAAUCCACUCCUAAUGGAUUCCUACUGGGGAAUCUGUUCCUGUUGCUAAGGGGGACUUAGCUGUCACUACUGUACAGAUAUGCCACAAGUCUCUACCUCUAGCCCUAGCAACGCUCCUGAUAUUUCCAACUUCCUGCUGGAUGGUUUCAACUGACUUAAUCAUUACACAUCAAAAUCUGGGGUUCUUGGGGCGCCUGGGUGGCGCAGUCGGUUAAGCGUCCGACUUCAGCUCAGGUCACGAUCUCACGGCCCGUGAGUUCGAGCCCCACGUCGGGCUCUGGGCUGAUGGCUCAGAGCCUGGAGCCUGCUUCCGAUUCUGUGUCUCCUUCUCUCUCUGCCCCUCCCUCCUUCAUGCUCUGUCUCUCUCUGUCUCAAAAAUAAAAUAAAAACUUAAAAAAAAAAAAAUCUGGGGUUCUCAAAUGAAUCUAUUUUUAUUCCAUCUCAGAUGAUUCUUUUCGAUUUUCCUAUUUCUUCUUCUAAGACACUCAGACUCUUAAGCUUUUAGGGUAAUUUCUGGCUCUUAUAUUUGUCUUAUUCUCACAGUGAAUCAGUUCCAAAGUCUAUUAAUUUUACAUUUAAAAGUAUGUCUAAUCAUGUCUAUCUCCAAUGCCUUAACCAGACCCUCACCCCCACUUUUCUGGGCCACUGUAACAGGUUUCUGUGCCUCCAGACUCUCUUUCCAUUCACGUUAAAUAAACACUAAAUCUUUGCUGAAGCACAGCACUAAUUACAGAGUUCUCUCAUCUUCUUCAGUGGUCCUCAAUCUACCUUCUGAGUCAGCUCUUACUUUCCCUGCACGUACCCUAUGCCUCAGCCAUCUAGACCACUCACUGCUAUCUCAUCUUGUUUCUUUUUUCAUAUUGUUUCCUGCUUUGAAGGCCACCUCCCAUUUCUGAAUGUUCAGAUCCUAUCCAACUUUCGGUGUGCAACUCAAAGGCACUUUUGUGAGGCUUUCCCCAGUCCUUUCUCUCAACAUUUACUUGUACCUAUCAAAUGCCACUUACGUACUUACAUUUCUCUCAUUUUUAACUAGUGUGUCUACCUUAUCUCUAAUAAACUGGAAGCUCCUUAAAGCGUGAAUUCUUGUCAGCAUUUAGUACUUAAUAGGGAUUUAAUAAAUGUUUGCCGAGUGACUCAUCUAAUUACCUGUUUUAUGAGGUACCUACCUGAAUACACCUUCCUUAGUAGUUUCAGAUUUGAUGAAGAAACCUAUAUUCACUUUAUAUAUACAUGGUACAGUAAGAGCAGGAAGUCCUGGGUUUGACAACUUGUUCUGCCACUUAGCUAUGUGGACUUUGAGUAAAAUAUUUAAUCUCUCAUAGCCUCAGUUACCCUAUCAGUAAAUUAUGGUGUAGUGCCUGCAGAUUAAAGUGCUGAAAAAGUAUUUAGAACCCCUAGCACAGUUUCAUAUACUUAGCAUAGGGACAAUAUUUUCCAAAGCUGGGCCACAAUAUAACCUAUCCCACAUGCUCUUCUUAAAAUGUGACACUGACACUCUUUCCACUGAAUAGUGGGGUCUGUGUACCCUCCCUUUGAACCCAGGCAAAGCUCAGUGACUGCCUCAACCAAGAGAAUAUGGUGAAAGUGACACUAUGUGGCCUCUGGGGAUAUGUCAUAAAAAUGCCAUGCACUUUUACCUUAUUCCCUUGAAAUAGGAGCUCUUGGAACACAGUUGCCACGCUGUGAGGUAGGUAAGGUCAAAUGGAGAGGCCACGUGUGGGUGUUUCGGCCAACAGCCUCAACUGAGAUCCAGCUGAUGGCCACCAUCGACCCCAAGACAUGUGAGUGAGGAAACUUCCCAGAUGACUCCAGCCCCAACUCCAGCUAACUGCAAUAGCUUGAGAUACCCUGUGCAAAAACUGCCUGGUGGUGGAGCACCUGGCUGGCUCAGUCGGUAGAGCAUACGACUCUUGAUCUCAGGGUCGUGAGUUUGAGCCCCACCUUGUGCAUAGUUUACUUUUUUUGAGAGAGAGAGAAAGAGAGGGAUGGGGGGAAGGAAGAGCGGGGAGAGAGAGAAAGAGAGGGAUGGGGGAAGGAAGAGUGGGGAGAGAGAGGGAGGGAGAGGGAGGGAGAGGGAGGGAGAGGGAGGAAGGGAAGGAGGGAGGAGGAGAGAGGGGGAAGGGGGGGGAGAGAGAGAGAGAGGAUCUUCAGCAGGCUCCACGCCCAGCUUGGAGCCCAGCAUGGGGCUUGAUCGCACAACCAUGAGACCAUGACCUAAGCUGAAAUCAAGAGUCACGCACUUAACCACUGAGCCACCCAGGUGCCCCAGAGUUUACUUAAAAACAACAACAACAAAAAAAUUGCCUAGUGGAGCCCAGUCAACUCCUGAGCAAGAGAUAAUAAAAAUAAUUGUUUUUUUGAGCCACUAAAUUCUGGAGUGACUAUUACACAGCAAUAGAUAAACUAAAAAUCUGGUGCCCAACACAUCCAGCUAUUAUUGACACAAUGCCACUGUAAAUCUCAGUCUCCUCCCGCCCCUUUUUCAAACUGACAGACCUCAUCUUUUUACUUUAACCUCACAUGGCAGGCAUCAUCCUUUCAUUUAAUAUAAUGAGUGCUUACUAUGGGUCAGACCCCAUUUUAGACUCUAGGAGAUAACAGUGAACAAAACAGAAUCCCUGCCUUAUGAAGCUUUCAGUCUAGUCAGAUAGAAAGAGGGCCAAAUCAAUCCAUAAUGUCAAAUAACAAUUGUUAAUGUAAUUUAAUAAAUUACAUAGUAAUUUAUAUACAAUGUUAGGUAGCAAUAAGGGUAAUCUUUCAUGCUUAUUAUUUGUCCUUUUCUAGAAAUUAAAGGAAUCUAUUAUUCUACCACAAAAACACAAAGUAUUCAGAACCAUCUCAGUUUAAAAUAAAAUAAAGGAUGUAAUAUUAUUUUGUUUUGUUUCCAAAACAUUUCCGAACAAUGCCUCACACAUUUGUUGGUCUUUCUGGCCAUAGUGGCCAAGUGGAAAAUCUAUAAAUUCUAGGUCCCUUCAUUAGGUCAUAACCAUUCAUUUUAUCAAAGUAAUUUGGAAUUUUUUAUUGUGUCAGUGAGCUUCCAGAUUUACCUUUUAAAUUUUGUAUAAUAAAUUAAUAUAAUAUUUUAGUUUGUACUUUCUAGUUCUUAAAUGCAAUAUCUUGUGUUGUUAAAAUACUUGUGCUUUUCCUAAUGGCUUACAUCGAUUAGUAAAAUUUUCCUGUAACUUUUUCCUAAGCACUUGGUUCUUCUUAAUAUGGAUGAAUAUAAUGUGCUUAUAUUAUGUGAAUUAAUGUGAAAAGAAAAUAUAACUUACAAAAAUAAAAGCUGCAGCAACUUUUAAAGAAUAUACAUAUUCAUAAAAUACACAUGCAUUCUGCAACAUACAUCUAUUUUAAAAAAUGAACUUUAAUUCACUUCCAAAGUUUACUAUCCUGUUUAUUUGCCUACAGCAUUUUCUAAAUUUUUUUUAGUGUUUAUUUAUUUUUGAGAGAGAGAGAGAGAGAGAGAGAGCGAGCGAGCAUGAGCAGGGAAGGGGCAGAGAGAGAGGGAGACACAGAAUCUGAAGCAGGCUUCAGACUCCGAACUGUCAGCACAGAGCCUGAUGUGGGACUCAAACUUACGAGCCACCAGAUCAUGACCUGAGCCGAAGUCAGACGCUUAACUGACUGAGCCACCCAGGCUCCCCUAUAGCAUUUUCUACCUAUUCUUGAAUCACAAAACAAAAAUAAACCACACACACCAAAAAAAACCCCACUCACACAAAUCCACUAAUAUUUUUUUCUGGUUAUAAAAGUCAUAGAUACUCACUGUGGAAAAACUGGAAAAUUUACAAUUAAUGAAUGAAUAAUGAAACGAAUGCCCAGGAGUGCCUGGCUGGCUUAGUUGGAAGAGCAUGUGACUCCUGAUCUUGGGGUUGUGAGUUCAAGCCCCAAGUUGGGUGUAGAAAUUACUAAAAAAUAAAUAUAUAAACUUAAGAAAAAAGAAAUGAAUGCCCAAAUGUUUACUGAUUACUUUUGAGUAAUGAGGAUAAAUGUAAUUAUUUAAUCUCUCUCUCUCUGUCUCUCUCUCUCUCUCUCUCUCUCUCUCACACACACACACACACACACACACACACACAAACACACACACACACACAAUUUGAGGGAUUUCUCCCAGGCCAGACCAAGAUAAAAUANCUAACAUUUUAAUAUGUUUAGUAGUAUUUAAAAUACACACACACACACACACACACACACACACACUGCAUAAAGAAAAAUGUUAACGGGGCGCCUGGGUGGCUCAGUCGGUUGGGCGUCCGACUUCGGCUCAGGUCAUGAUCUCGUGGUCCGUGAGUUUGAGCCCCGCGUCAGUCUCUGUGCUGACAGCUCAGAACCUGGAGCCUGUUUCAGAUUCUGUGUCUCCCUCUCUCUCUGACCUUCCCCCAUACAUGCUCUGUCUCUCUCUGUCUCAAAAAUGAAUAAAUGUUAAAAAAAAAAAAAGAUUUAAAAAAAAAUGUUAACAAUCACACAGAAACAUUUCCAUCAUUACAGAAAAUUCUACUGUGUAGUAUUUCACUAUUAUACUGCCUCCCAGGACUGGGUAUUUUUUUCUUUCUUUCUUUCUUUCUUUCUUUCUUUCUUUUUUUUUUCCUGCAGAGGGAGAGAGUGAGAGCACAUGAAGAGAGAAGCACAGAGCCAGAGGGGCAGAGUGAGAGAGAGAAUCCCAAGCAGGCUCCACACUGAGCAUGGAGCCUGACAUGGAGCUCGAUCCCAAGACCCAAGCUGAAACCAAGAAUCAGAUGCUCAACCAACUGAGCCACCCAGGCAUCCUACAGCACUGGGAUUUGUAGUUAGGCCUCUUGUUUAUGGGAUCACAAUUUCAUUGACCAGGCAAAUAUACACACAUGAAAUGGUAAACAAGACAAGGCCAGAUAAAAAUAAGAGAACAAACUACAAAUAUUAUUGAAGUUCAAAGAAAUAAAGAGAUAAAUACAGGUAGAUAUGGAACAGCCUUCAUAAAGGGGACACAUAUUUACUUAUUGACUUAAUAAUUCAUUGAGGGACAUGAACACAUUGUGCUAGGCUCUAUAAGGGCCUGACCUAAGCAAGAUUUAGGGGCACUACAGUUUAAUAAGAAGAUUAACUGUCAACCACCACCUUCACCCUAUUUCUGUCAUUAAUGAGCUGUAUGAUAUUGGGAUCUCUAGUCCUUGUGAAGGGGAUGAUCUCAGACUUCUAGUCUUAAAGUGCUAUGAUACAAAGAAAAGAGGAAACAAAAAAGGCACCAGAGAAUAAGGAAAGCAACUAACUGAAAAGAUCCAAAGUUGACAGAAUGAGCUAUGUUCCUAGAAUACAAAGCAGAAUGAAUGGUGAUUUUGCAUGGAGGAAAUAUUCAUACAUUCAAUAUAUAUUUAUUGAGUGCCUAUUAUGUGCCAGGCACCAUGCGACAAUGGAUAAGGAUACUAUAGUGCUCAAAACAGAUAAAAAUCCUUUGUUUCUAGAAUCUGGCAUUCUAGAGGGGAAACAAGUAAUUAAAAAAAAUAAAUAAGAAACUAUAUUGUGGGGCACCUGGAUGGCUCAACUGGUUGAGCGUCCAACUUUGGCUCAAGUUCUGAUUUAACAGUUUGUGAGUUCAAGCCCCACACUGGGCUCUGUGCUGACAGCUCUGAGCCUGGAGCCUGCUUCGGAUUCUGUUUCCCUCUCUCUCUGCCCCUCCCCUGCUCAUGCUCUCUCUCAAAAAUAAAUAAACAUGAAAAAAAUUAGAAAAUAAUUUCCUUAGGGGCACCUAGGUGGCUCAGUUGGUUAAAUAUCUGACUCUUGAUUUUGGCUCAGGUCAUGAUCUCAUGAUUGGUGAUUUCAAGCCCCAUGCUGGGCUCUGUGCUGACAGCAUGGAGCCUGAUUGAGAUUCCCUCUUUCUCUCUCUCUCUGUCCUUCCCCCGCUCAUGCUCUCUCGCUCUCUCAAAAUAAAAAACUUAAAAACUUAAAAAAAAAAGAAUUUUCUCAUAAUUGCAGAGAACUUUAUAGGUCAUUUAGUACAACCCAUUAGAUUAUUAUACCCCUAUUACUCCUCCCAAGUGAGGAACUUGUGUUGGCUUGAACUAUUUUAAUUUUUUUUCAUUUACUUACUUAUUUAUUUAUUUAAAGUAAGCUCUAAGUCCAAUGUGUGGCUUGAACUCAUGACCCUGGGAUCAAGAGUUGCAUGUUGUACCAACUGAGCCAGUCAGGUGCCCCGGCUUGAACAAUGUUAGUGCCUUGAUCUACUUCCAUAGACCAGACAGCCCAUCCAUCCUCAAAUAGCUCUUUUAGACUCUAAUAGCACAGAAAUCUGUUUCCUAGUAAUGUCUAGUCUUUAUUCCUUUUUAGGGACACUUUGUACACUACAUGCUUCAGAUAUUUGAAGACAGUCUUCAAGUCUUCUCUCAGAUUUCUCUUCUUUUCAGGUUAAAGUUAACCAGUUGUUUUAACUCUUUUCUAAGUGACAUGGUCUUAUGCUUUGUAAUGGUAAGUUAAGGGAGUCUCAACUGCAAGCCAGAAAAACUGACUUUGGGUAACUUACAUUAUGUAACAUAAGAUUUAUUGGAAGGAUAGGAGGUAGAGCACAGAACUGAGGAAAAGCUAAAGAAUCAGGUCUUUGGGAACAAAUACAGAGCAGUUCCAGUAUCCACAUAUUAGGAAUUAAUCCAUGGUUGUGAUGAAGGAAGCUUGUCACUGUGUCACUCAACCUAACAUUCAAAUGAAAAGAGGAAUACAUCUAUUUGCCUAACGUCUACUGGCCUAACCUGGGUCACGUACCCACCUACUAGGUCAGGGAUGGACUGUUUCCUCAAAGCAAAACUGAGCUGCUAUUCCCUGAAAAACCUACACUGGAUGCUGGGCAGGCUGAAACAACUUAUGUUCACUAAAUUCUCUCAAAAUGUGAUACCUCAAAUCCAACGUAAGAAUCCAGGUGUAGAGGAGGAGGAAAGCCAAGGUAUAGCCCCCCACACUUGCUGUAUGACCUUGUGCAAGUGACCGAACUCUGCCUCAGUUCCUAUCUGUAAGAAGGUGGUGGUCACAACAACACUUUGUUGUACCUGCAGCAACCAAAUAAGAAAAUGUAUGUGAAACACUUUAUAAACUCAAAGCUAACUACAGUAGCCAACACUUGCUGACUGCCUAUCAGAGUCACACUGCACAGAUUAUUUUAUUACAUAGAUUAUUAUUUUUAUUUAUUUACAUAGAUUAUUUCAAAACAACCCUAUGAAGUAGAAGAUUACGAGCACGAACUCUGGAGUCUGACUACCCAGGUUCAAAUCCUGACUCCAUCACUUAUUUCUGAGACCUUGAACAAGUUACUUAGCUUGUGAUUGUUUCCUCACCUUAAGUGGGCAUAAUUCUAACAAUUGUGAUUAUGAAGACCGAGGUAAUAUAAGUAAAACUCUUAGAACUGUGCUGAGUAUAUAAUAAACACCCAACAAAUAUUAGCUGUUACUAUGGUGAUAGCAGUAGUAGGUAUCCCAAUUUUACAAAUGAGCAAAAUGAGGCAUUGGGAAGUUACAUCACUUGUGUUAAGUUUUCAAAGUUUAACGUGGAAGAGCAGAAUUUGAACUUCACUGUAAGUGUUCCUAAUUACUAUACUCCAUACACUUUGAAAGUGGAGGGGGAAAAAAGUGGUAUUUGGACUUUAACCCUAACUUCAAGUCACACAAAUUAAGGAUAUUUACAAACGAAACUCAAACACAAGAAGAAGGAAAUGAACUGUUGAUACACGUCUUUAGAAUGUUAGCUAGAAGGCUAAUCAGAUCUCUAGAGAAGACCAGGAAUAUUCAUAUUAUUUUGUUAAGGAAGAAAAGUCUCUUACCUAUUUGGAAAUCAGCCCCUUACCAAGGGUAAGCCUUCUGAUCAGUGCUUUCAAUAUAAUUUUUUUUUUGCUUUUUUAAAGAUUUUAUUCUUAAGUAACCUCUAUAUCUAACAUGGGGCUCGAACUUACAACCCCGAGAUAAAGAGUCACAUGUCCCACCGACUGAGCCAGCCAGGCGCCACUCAAUCUCAUUUCUAAUGUUUAUUUAUUUAUUUAUUUAUUUAUUUAUUUAUUGAGAGAGAGAGAGAGAGAGAGCGCGAGCGCGCGUGCGUGCAAGGGAGCACAUGAGCAGGGGAGGGGCAGAGUGGGGGGCAGGGACAGAGGAUCGGAAGCGGCCUCUGUGCUGACAGCAGACAGCCUGAUGCGGGGCUUGAACUCACAAAUCAUGCCAUCAUGACCUGAGCCAAAGUCGGAUGCUUAACUGAGUCACCCAGGUGUCCCCUGAAUCUCAUUUCUUUUUUUAAGUUUUUUUUUUCAACGUUUAUUUAUUUUUGGGACAGAGAGAGACAGAGCAUGAACGGGGGAGGGGCAGAGAGAGAGGGAGACAUAGAAUCGGAAACAGGCUCCAGGCUCUGAGCCAUCAGCCCAGAGCCUGACGCGGGGCUCGAACUCACGGACCGCGAGAUCGUGACCUGGCUGAAGUCGGACGCUCAACCGACUGCGCCACCCAGGCGCCCCCUGAAUCUCAUUUCUAAUGUUACUCUUAUUGACAAAGUUACUUAAUGAUGCCAAAGAAGUUAACUUCUCCAAAACAAUUCACAUUAGCAGAGAAAAAAACUAUACAUACCAAACCUGCAUCACACUUAGAAAAAGUAGGAAUGUGUUUAUAACCGAGAGAGAGGCAUAAUGUUAGAAGAUGCAGUUAACUGUGUCCACCAAAAAAAUAAAUAAACAUUUCUCAUUUAUGAAUUAAGACCAUCAAUGAGGCUAAAUGUUCGAAAAGGAGAGAUAAUUAUAUGGAUACUAUCCAAACAAUGGUGUCUUCAAAAUCAGUUCCUAAGCCACACUAAAAGUAAUCUUUGUUAUUUGUCAUACAGUACUACUCAGAGUACUACUGUGUUCUGAAUACCACAUCCAAUGAAGUAUUCAUUCAACAGAUACUUAGUGAUUACCUAGGGGGAAGUGGUGAAAAAGACAGAGGCCCUACUCUCAUGGAGCUUACACUGUAGGCAGGUAUUACAAAAAAGAAAUUGAGGCUCAGUUCCCAGGACUGUCAGACUCUAUUUCGACUGUAUCAUCUCUCACUGGCAAGAUACAGCUUCUCCUAAAAGUCUACACCUAAUCAUGCAGUCCUGACAGCAUGGAACAAUUUAGAGUUUCUCUCUGGUGGCAGUCCAGAGUCACUUUCUCAGUGAAGUAUUCUUCCCCCAACUCCCAAGAGCAAAGAUUGCUUGGUCAGUAGUUUAACACAUCAUGUUGACAUGUAUACAAUUCUUUUUCUUCCCUCAUUAGUCCCUAACUCCCUCAGGGCAAGAACCAUGUCUUAAUCUCUUUAUAUGUCUAGAAGAUGGUGGAGCAGAUACUCAAUAAAUAGCUGAGUGGAGCUCACGAAAACAUUUCAACAGAGUAGACAGUGGGAGCCAGACUGCAAUGAACCAAGGAGUCCAAGGAAAUGACGGGCAUAGUGUUUGCCCUUCAAGAACAAGCCCAGAAAGGAAAAGAAGAGAAAUGGAAGUAGUUCAAAGAAGAAAUGUGAUCACAGGCAAGUUUUAUAUUUUUUUAAGAAUAAGCAAGAUUUGAACUUAUUUUUUUUGUAAGGUAGUACAGCACAAUUAGAAAGAGCAGAUGGGGCACCUGGGUGGCUCAGUGGGUUGGGUUUCUGACUUUGGCUCAGGUAAUGAUCUCACGGUUCGUGGGUUCAAGCCCCACGUCAGACUCUGUGCUGACAGCGCAGAGCCUGGAGCCCACUUCAAGUUCUGUGUCUCCCUCUCUCUGCCCCUCCCCCACUCGUGCUCUCUCAAAAACGAAUAAACAUUAAAAAAAAUAAAUAAAUAAAAUAAAAAGAGCAGAGAUGGCAGAGUCAGAUAGGCUUGAAUGUGAAUCUGUUACUUACAAUGUCUAUAGGCAAAUCACUUAACCUCUGUACUUCAACUUGACAUACAUAAAAAGAGAAUGGGGGCACCCGGGUGUCUCAGUUGGUUAAGCAACCAACUUCAGCUCAGGUCAUGAUCUCAUAGUUCAUGAGUUGGAGCCUUGCAUCAGGCUCUGUGCUGAACACGCAGCACCUGCUUGGAAUUUCUCUCACCUCUCUCUCUGCCUCUCCACGGCUUGCGCGCUCUCUCUCUGCCUCUCCACGGCUUGCGCUCUCUCUCUCUCUCAAAAAAUAAAUAAACGUUUACAAGAAAAGAAAUUUUAAAAAAAGAGAGAAUGAUAAUACCUACACCUCACUGUGACAAUUACAGCACUUGGCAAACAGAAGAAAUCCAAUAAAUGGUAUUGAUGAUUAUUAUUGUAUGCAGAAAGAAGCCUGCUCUCUGAUGUUCUAAACCCUCUCGCAUAGCUUGUGCUUCAGUCCGGAUUUCCUAUCUCAGUCUAUGUGUUACUAUGUGAUGGCUCAGCCAGUUGAGCAUCCGACACUCGAUUUCGGCUCAGGUCAUGAUCACGGUUCAUGGGUUGGAGCCCUGGGUCAAGCUCUGCGCUGGUGGCAUGGAACCUGCUUGGGAUUCUCUCUCUCUCUCUCUCUCUCUCUCUCUCCCCCGCCCCCACUCACAUGCAAGCAUGCACACACACUCUCUCUCAAAAUAAAUAAAUAAGUAAACAUUUUUUAAAAUAUGUAUGAUGGCAAGGAAACAAGAUCCUUACUUCUUUGUGUACCACCCUCUGUGCUAUUCCACUUCCUUGUGACAGUCUGCAUGAGCUCAUGAAUGGCUGCUGUGGAAAAUUACUGAUGUCACCAGCUGAGGAAAUAGACACAAUCUGGAGAACAAGCCAAUGAAACUGAUGUUAAAUCAUCAAAUGUACAAGAUUCUGGGCUCCUGCCAAAACUCACUGAGCACUAAGAAGAGAGAAACUGAAAACACAAACACACAGGACAUUGUUUAACUUCCUAAGCCAACAAGGUGUUCCCGGCAUCCACCCCAGGCACAGAUAGAUGGCUGUAUGAUAAAAGGGAUGGUUUCUCCAGAGUUCCUGUCUCAAUA
rnacentral:lncRNA from 1 species